AGAAAGAAAGAGAGAGAGAGAGAGAUUGUCGCGAUAGAAAAAGAAACCGGUGAUUUCAAACAUUCAUUUUGUACGUACCCAAAAUAGACGUGUCAUUCUGUUUUCUCUUCCUUUUUUCUCUUCCUAGUCUAUCUCAUCAUCAUAGAACUGAUCUGACGUACGGUGUGUAGA
rnacentral:ribozyme from 1 species